rnacentral:tRNA from 1 species
UGCUCCUUGGAACGGUUCGUGCGGCGGCGCCGGCCUCGGUGGGGCCGGUCGCCCGGGUGGUCGCCCCCGGUGCGUCACCGGGAGGGCGCGG